rnacentral:lncRNA from 1 species
AAUUAAGGGUCCUAUUAACCCUCGACUCUGAGACAAAGGCACGAAUCUUCUGAGACGAGAUGUCUGCCAAACAUCUGCCAGGGAAAAUAAAAGUAGUAAACAUGUCAGUGGCUGCGAGGGGUCUGAAGGGGCCGCGAUGAUCUGAAGUGCGGCCUUGAUGUGCACCGGGCCUGCCAAGGCCGGUUAUAUGGCUUACGUUUUGAUCUGAGGAGCUCUUGCUUUGCUUCCUG